ensembl:snoRNA
GCACUUGAAUCUUUCCUAUUCCUUGCUGCUCAGUGCAGGUAUGAGGACACAUGGUGGUACAACUGGAGCAGAGGAAAUACAGACAGGUGCUUGUCCAUUUGUCUUGGUACUUGUCUUUACCACUCCGCCACACUU